UACGUAGGGGGCAAGCGUUGUCCGGAAUUAUUGGGCGUAAAGAGCGCGUAGGCGGUCCGAUAAGUCGGCUGUGAAAGUCAGGGGCUCAACCCUUGAAAGCCGGCCGAUACUGUCGGACUAGAGUCCGGAAGAGGCAAGUGGAAUUCCCGGUGUAGCGGUGAAAUGCGCAGAUAUCGGGAGGAACACCAAUGGCGAAGGCAGCUUGCUGGGACGGUACUGACGCUGAUGCGCGACAGCAUGGGGAGCAAACAGG
rnacentral:rRNA from 1 species